CCCUUAGAUGUUCUGGGCUGCACGCGCGCUACACUGAUGCGAUCAACAAGUUUUUCCUAUGUCGAUAGACACGGGUAAUCUUUUGAACUCGCAUCGUGAUGGGGAUAGAUUAUUGUAAUUAUUAAUCUUCAACGAGGAAUUCCUAGUAGGUGCAAAUCAUCAGUUUGCAUCGAUUACGUCCCUGCCCUUUGUACACACCGCCCGUCGCUGCUACCGAUUGGUUGAUCUGGUGAAUUAUUCGGACUGCCGGCCGAAGGGGUUUCCUCAUCUGCCAGCGGAAAGUCUUGUUAACCCUAUCAACUAGAGGAAGCAGAAGUCGUAACA
rnacentral:rRNA from 1 species